GGGGGAUUAGCUCAGUUGGUAGAGCGCUCGCUUAGCUUGUGAGAGGUUGCGGGAUCUAUGCCUGCAUCCUCCA